AAAUUAAAUAUUAAAUUCUAAAUUUAAAAUGACAAUCAUUUAAUUCAUUUCUUUAUUAGGAUAUACCAACAGGCAUUAAUACUAUUUGGAGCAACAUAUAUACCAUAUAUGCAUCCACCAAAAUUCUCCCUACCUCCUAUUCUGGUAUAUAAUUCUUCUUAAAUCAGAACACAUUAAGAAGAAUAUCAAGAAAAUAUAUGUGAUUUCUUUCAAUUUCUUCUUUAAUUUUAUUUUCUUUUUUGACAGACAACACGAAAACAUCACGGUGACAACAUCAAAAUCUUCUUCUUCUUCUUCUUCUUCUCUCUCUAUAUAUAUACGCACUUGCAGAUAAGUAGAAAGCAUAAUAACAGAUUGGAAUGGCUUCUUCUCCCACUGUUAUUUUCCCAGUUUUUAUGUUCAUCGUCUUCUUCUUGAGUAUUGCCAGUGCUAAACGUCACCUGCCACAGAAAUACUUCAAUGUCUUGGAUUAUGGUGCUAUUGCCGAUGGAAAGUCGGAGAAUAGUCCGGCAUUUUUGAAGGCGUGGGAGGAUGCAUGUAGAUACCCUGGAAAGAGUAGGGUUUUGAUACCAAAAGGGACAUUCAAGAUUUGGUCGACGACGUUUUUGGGGCCGUGUCGGGGGCCAAUUGCGUUUGUAAUCAAAGGAGUUGUUAAGGCUCCGACAAAUCCCGGAGAGUUCAUGAACAUGAACACGUGGCUAGGGUUCCGAUAUGUGGAUAGGUUGUCGGUGAACGGCGGUGGCUAUUUGGAUGGCCAAGGCCUUGCUGCUUGGCCCUAUAAUGAUUGCUCCACCAAUCCCAAUUGCUCUCCACUUCCCGUUACAUUGAGGUUUGACUUUGUGACGAUGGCAAAAAUAAAUCAUUUGAGAUCAAUAAACAGCAAGAACACCCAUAUCAACUUGUUCGCAUGCCACAACGUAAACAUCAGCCGCAUAAGGCUAACCUCCCCCGGCGACAGCCCCAACACCGACGGAAUCCGCAUCGGAGCUUCCACCCACAUCAAGAUCUCCACUUCCGUCAUCCAAACCGGCGACGACUGCGUCGCCAUGGUCACCGGCUCCAAAAACAUCCUCGUCCGCAAAGUCACCUGCGGCCCCGGCCACGGCAUCAGCAUCGGCAGCCUCGGCAGGUCCCGAGGAGACUUUGUCUCCGACGUUAAAGUCAUCAACUGCACUUUCAUCGGCACGCAAAACGGUGUCAGGAUCAAAACCUGGGCCGCCGGUUCCGUGCCCGGAACGGUUUCCAAUGUAUUCUUUGGUUACAUUUCUAUGCAGAAUGUCAACAACCCCAUCCUCAUUGAUCAAACCUACUGCCCCGGCCUUUCUCAUUGCAGCGAUUUCGGGGAACAGUCGUCACUUGUUAAGAUAAAAGGCGUGACAUUUUACAACAUCUGGGGGACGUCGUCUUCAAAGGUGGCGGUGGCCUUGGAGUGUAGUGCAAGGGAGCCAUGUCAGAACAUUAUCCUCAACAAGAUCAACUUGAGGUACCAUGGCCGAGGAGGGCCGGCGAUUUCGGAAUGUUCGAAUGUAAUUGGCAGAUCUUAUGGGAGACAGUACCCUCCCAGUUGUGUGUAGGUUUAAUUUGUUGACUCUCGAUAUUGAUUAGAAGAUCCAAAGUAUCAACUUUUAAUAAUAACUAAUAUUUUGCAAUGUUGUACGUUUUU